rnacentral:rRNA from 1 species
UACAGGGGGGGGCAAGCGUUGUUCGGAAUUACUGGGCGUAAAGGGCUUGUAGGUGGCCAACUAAGUCCGACGUGAAAUCCCUAGGCUUAACCUAGGAACUGCGUCGGAUACUGGAUGGCUUGAAUCCGGGAGAGGGAUGCGGAAUUCCAGGUGUAGCGGUGAAAUGCGUAGAUAUCUGGAGGAACACCGGUGGCGAAGGCGGCAUCCUGGACCGGUAUUGACGCUGAGGCGCGAAAGCUAGGGGAGCAAACGGG